UACGGGGGGGGUAAGCGUUGUUCGGAAUUACUGGGCGUAAAGGGCUCGUAGGCGGCCAACUAAGUCAGACGUGAAAUCCCUCAGCUUAACUGGGGAACUGCGUCUGAUACUGGAUGGCUUGGAUUUGGGAGAGGGAUGCGGAAUUCCGGGUGUAGCGGUGGAAUGCGUAGAGAUCCGGAAGAACACCGGUGGCGAAGGCGGCCUGCUGGGCAGUUUAGCUGACACUGAGGCGCGACAGCGUGGGGAGCAAACAGG
rnacentral:rRNA from 1 species